CCUACGGGAGGCAGCAGUGGGGGAUAUUGCACAAUGGGGGGAACCCUGAUGCAGCGACGCCGCGUGGGUGAAGAAGCGCCUCGGCGCGUAAAGCCCUGUCAGCAGGGAAGAAAAUGACGGUACCUGAAGAAGAAGCCCCGGCUAACUACGUGCCAGCAGCCGCGGUAAUACGUAGGGGGCAAGCGUUAUCCGGAUUUACUGGGUGGAAAGGGGGCGCAGACGGCGAUGCAAGCCAGGGGUGAAAGCCCGGGGCCCAACCCCGGGAGUGCUCUUGGAACUGCGUGGCUGGAGUGCAGGAGGGGCAGGCGGAAUUCCUGGUGUAGCGGUGAAAUGCGUAGAUAUCAGGAGGAACACCGGUGGCGAAGGCGGCCUGCUGGACUGCAACUGACGUUGAGGCCCGAAAGCGUGGGGAGCAAACAGGAUUAGAUACCCUUGUAGUC
rnacentral:rRNA from 1 species